GAUAGAGGCGCGGUGCUUAUAAGUAUCGGGGUCAAACCGCUUGAACGGUUCCCGUGAAAGGAAGUUCCGCCGAAACGUCGGAUAGUUUCAAGGCGUCCGCCGUUGGGCAAUGUGAGAACAUCUCAUUGACUGUCGCCUGCGGGCGGAGCGCUAUCGU
rnacentral:ncRNA from 1 species